CUGAUUACUGCGCAAGGGUGUAUAUAGGUCUAGAAAGACCAGCCCUUCUCGCUAAUUGUAGUGAUGUAAGCGAGAAUCAGCGCAUAACUGUCAG
rfam:Euryarchaeota archaeon AMET1 AMET1_3, whole genome shotgun sequence.